rnacentral:snRNA from 1 species
CUUGAAAAACCAAAAAAAAUAAAAUAAAAUUGGAAUGAUACAGAGAUUAGCAUGGCCCCUGCACAAGGAUGACACCCAAAUUCGUGAAGUGUUCCAUAUUUUU